rnacentral:pre_miRNA from 13 species
CCCGCUGUUCUCCAGCUGGUCCGGCGGAGCAGGGCUUAGCUGGCCUGUGAACAGUUAGUUCCCUGCGUGUUCACAGUGGCUAAGUUCCGCCCCUCCAGGGCCCCGCCCAACAGGCCGGGC